AAUGAACGCUGGCGGCAGGCCUAACACAUGCAAGUCGAACGGGUCCUUCGGGACUAGUGGCGGACGGGUGAGUAACGCGUGGGAACGUGCCCCUUAGUACGGAAUAGCCCCGGGAAACUGGGAGUAAUACCGUAUGUGGUCGAGAGACGAAAGAUUUAUCGCCAAGGGAUCGGCCCGCGUUGGAUUAGGUAGUUGGUGGGGUAAUGGCCUACCAAGCCGACGAUCCAUAGCUGGUUUGAGAGGAUGAUCAGCCACACUGGGACUGAGACACGGCCCAGACUCCUACGGGAGGCAGCAGUGGGGAAUCUUAGACAAUGGGGGAAACCCUGAUCUAGCCAUGCCGCGUGAUCGAUGAAGGCCUUAGGGUUGUAAAGAUCUUUCAGGUGGGAAGAUAAUGACUGUACCACCAGAAGAAGCCCCGGCUAACUCCGUGCCAGCCGCCGCCGUAAAAC
rnacentral:rRNA from 1 species